rnacentral:rRNA from 1 species
GACAGAGGCCCCGAGCGUUAGGCGGAAUCACUGGGCUUAAAGCGUGUGUAGGCGGGCCCGUAAGUGUCUUGUGAAAUCCCACGGCUCAACCGUGGAACUGCUGGGCAUACUGCGGGUCUUGGGCCAACUAGGGGCAGCCGGAACAAGUGGUGGAGCGGUGAAAUGCGUAGAUAUCGCUUGGAACGCCGAAGGUGAAAACAGGCUGCUGGGGUUGCGCCGACGCUGAGACACGAAAGCCAGGGGAGCAAACGGG